AGCAACCAGCUGGCGUCCCCCUUCUGCAAUGUCGAAGCUUUGUUCUUUUGCUCCUUGCAGUAACUCUUGCUGCUGCUCACUGUUUGGGUCUGCGCUACCUUUAUGAGCUGUAACACUCAUCUUGAAGGUCUGCAGGUUCACUCCUGAAGCCAACGAGACUAUGAACCCACCGGGAGGGAGGAACAACUCCGGAUGGAAGGAAAGAACAACUCCAGACACACUGCCUUUGAGAGCUGCAAUGCUCACCAUAAAGGUCUGCAGCUUCACUCCUGAAGCCACCGAGACCACGAAUCCACCAGAAGGAAGAAACUGUGGACACGUCCAAACAUCAGAAGUAACAAACUCCGGACACACCAUCUUUAAGAGCUGUAACACUCACCGCAAGGGUCUGCAGCUUCAUUCUUGAAGUCAGGGAGACCAAGAACCCACCAAUUCUGGACACAAUGUUUGGAGGAUGUUCACUAUCCUGAAAACAGUUGCAUGGAGCCUAAGUUAAAGCCUGAAAAAACAGCUAGGCAUGGUGGCAUGCACCUAUAGUCUGAGCUACUCAGGAGGCUGAAGUGGGAGGAUUGCUUGAGUACAGGAGUUCAAGGCUGCAGUAUGCUAUGAUCACAUCUAUGAACAGCCACUGUAUUCCAGCCUGGGCAACAUAGCUAGACCCUAUCUUAUUUAAAAAAGAAAAGAAAGGAAAAAAAGCUGGAAAAAAAUAAAAGGAAGUGCUGCAUGACACUAUUCAGGGAGAUGAGGUUAAUAGUUUUUAAGCAUGUGGUUUUCAUCCUAUUUUAUACCUUACUAUAAGGUAUAAAAGUAGAAAUAGGGACCUUGUAGAUCCAGUACUGACUUGGCAGAUAAGAGGAGAAAGCAGUCCAGAGGAGAAACCCUACUCAACGAGGGGAAGAUACUGUGCAUUGGCAGUAACAGUAACACAAAACAAGUAUGGAGGAAUAAAGUGUAAAGGGAAGAGGACAGGUACGAAAAUGAUUAAAGUGCUGUGAAGAAGUUAUAGAUCAGACCGGGUGCUGUGGCUCACGCUUGUAAUCCCAGCACUUUGGGAGGCCAAGUCGGGCAGAUCACCUGAGGUCUGGAGUUCGAGACCAGCCUGGCCAACAUGGUGAAACCCCCUCUCUACAAAAAUACAAAAAAUGAGCCAGACGUGGUGGUGCGCGCCUGUAGUUCCAGCCACUUGGGAGCUAGCACCACUGCACUUCAGACUGGGUGAGAGAGCCAGACUCCAUCUCAAAAGAAGAAAAAAAAAAGUUAAAGAUCAUAAUUCCGAAAAAAAGAAAUUAACGAAAAGCUACAGGAAAAAAAUGAGAUGGAAAAGGAAAUGGUUGACAUUCUUUUGUGAAACUGACCUCCUAGCAUUUGACUUGCUGCUAAACAAACAAAACAAAACCUUUUAAACACAUUUUUUUAAAUCGAGGCUCAAGGAAGGAGGACUUUGGCAGAAGGACCAUCAGAGACCAUAACUGGUUUCUUUUCUUUGGAAAAGAGCAGAAGGUGUAAAUGCAAACACAAGCCAGUGUUUGCAUGCUCAAUUAACAUUUGAAUUUCUUCCCCCUCCUUCAUAAAAAUAAAAAUAAUUUAUGUUGAAUUUUUGCAUCUUACCCUAUCCUUUCUCAUUUCCAUCUUCUUUGUAAUUAAUAUUAGUGGGUCAUUAUCAACAGAUCAGUAAAUGGAGACAAAAGAAAAGCAUUUGCCUCAAACUAUUUAUCAGGUCACAGAACAGAGCUGGCCUUCGAGUUUGUAACCUCUCCAUUCUUGGUCUCUGUUAUCAGACAGCCAUAAUUAACGAAGAAGACAUUCUAGACUACCUAGUACCAGUUAAUUUGGAUCUUGUAUCUGUACUAUUUAAUGGAAGAAGAUGAAACAAUAGGUAGUCCCCACCCCCAAUCAUUUGAAAUUCUCAUGCGCAGACAAGCACACUCUCAUGGUGGUCUUGCUCAACUCCUGCUGGCAGCCAAGAAGGUGAGGUGGGAGGUCAUGCAAAAUCCACCUAAUAACUACAUAACUAUUUGUUGACCAAUCCUUUAAUUGACUUUUCGACACUGAUGAAGACCAUGAGCCUGUGGAAUUACAAAAUUCAUUACCUCGCAGUGCUUAUUUUUUCUAAGGCCUGCA
rnacentral:lncRNA from 1 species